UACGUAGGGCGCAAGCGUUAUCCGGAAUUAUUGGGCGUAAAGAGCUCGUAGGCGGUUUGUCGCGUCUGCUGUGAAAGACCGGGGCUCAACUCCGGUUCUGCAGUGGGUACGGGCAGGCUAGAGUGCAGUAGGGGAGACUGGAAUUCCUGGUGUAGCGGUGAAAUGCGCAGAUAUCAGGAGGAACACCGGUGGCGAAGGCGGGUCUCUGGGCCGAUACUGACGCUGAGGAGCGAAAGCGUGGGGAGCGAACAGG
rnacentral:rRNA from 1 species